GAUGAAGAACGCAGCGAAAUGCGAUACGUAAUGUGAAUUGCAGAUCUCUCAGUGAACCAUCGAAUCUUUGAACGCACAUUGCGCCCGCCAGUAUUCUGGCGGGCAUGCCUGUUCGAGCGUCAUUACAACCCUCAGGCCCCCGGGCCUGGCGUUGGGGAUCGGCGGAGCCCCCCGUGGGCACACGCCGUCCCCCAAAUGCAGUGGCGGUCCCGCCGCAGCUUCCAUCGCGUAGUAGCUAACACCUCGCGACUGGAGAGCGGCGCGGCCACGCCGUAAAACACCCAACUCUUCUGAAGUUGACCUCGAAUCAGGUAGGAAUACCCGCUGAACUUAAGCAUAUCAAUAAGCGGAGGA
rnacentral:misc_RNA from 1 species